rnacentral:misc_RNA from 1 species
UUUCCGUAGGUGAACCUGCGGAAGGAUCAUUACCGUAUUUAUAUAAAAAAUACAAGAGAGAGAAUCCGUAUGAGUAUUAAACACUGCAGUUAAUAUGAGCAGUAUAGUACUCAUGGAGAGUGGAGUUUGGUGCUCACCUAUACCUCAACUCGUAAUGUCAAGUUUAUUGAAUGAGAGUGGUGAGGCAGUAUUACGACCAUUGUUGUCAUAUACUGUGUGGAAGAAAUUGGUGUGGGACAGGGUUUUACCUGAGCCAAUUUAUGUAUAAACAAGUUGAAAUGAAUUUAGGUAGACUUUCUUAAUAAAGAAAAAGUCUUCAAAGAACAUGGUGUUUCGCCUAAAUUCACUUGUCUAUGUGUUGUGCUCAAGUGUACCCUAGCUCUUGCUGAGCUUAAAACAGCAAAUGUGUAAAAGUGUAUGUUGAAACAUAAUAAAAAUAUAUAAAAAGAGAAAAAUCAACCUCGAGUGGUGGAUCACUCGGCUCGU